UUUAGAUCAUUGAUUAAACAGCUGACCGGAACUAUGUUUGAGGGGGUUCAUUUCCGAUUCCAGCGGUCACCUGCCAACCAAUCAGAAACGAAUUUUUCCGUGACCUCCACCGUCAGUCAGGACAUGAUGUAAACCUUGAGUUGAAGGUGAAUCAGCAGAAACCUGGAGGAGAUGGACACAGGACAAGGGAGAGUAUGACCAUUUCAAAGCAACAGUCCCGUUGCCAGGCGGUGAAUGGAGCUCGUCCUUUGAGUUUGGAGGGCCAGGCCUGUGUUUUCUGGAGGGGCUGUCCUCAAAGUUUGGAGCACCCUGGAGUGGACACACACACACACACACGUGCUUCAGGUUGAUGAUCCUUAACUCUGGGUCCGAACCGAAGGCAGACAUGUCACUGUGGAUGCUCUCAUCAGUCCCCUACGUAGUUUUUAAUGCAUGUUCCUGGAUUGAGGCUGCACUUGUUCAAACAAACUUGAACUCUUCAUCAGCCAGAAGAUGUAAAAAUAUUCAUCAAACUAAUUUUUGAUAGUUAGUCACCUGGAGGAACAGAAAAAAAGAGGAAAACACAGCGAGCAUGCAACUGAGACAGAUAGAAAUCUUUAAACACCAGUACUGCCAUGGUGCUGUUCACUCAACAGAGGGCUGAGAGUGAAUGCCUGAGAGUAUAAAAAAACAACCAAGAAUCAACGAGAAGGAGAAUGACUCUGCUACCAUGGCAGAGUCAAACAGACUCAGCUCAGAAACUGUAAUCCCAACAAGGAGCACAGGGAGGACAGAGAGGGAUGUGAGAAAUGGAAGGGGAGAGGGUCUGUCAUGGAGGAAAAUAGUGUCUGUAUUCCCCAGUAAAUCGAUGUUGUUGAGAAGUUUGGGCCUUGCCAGUAAAGUGAAGAAACGGCAGUGGCAGCUGCACCCAGUUUUGUGCCUGCUGACAGAGAGGAGGCUUUUGUUUGCAGCACAGGCGGCACAGUGAACAGCAUAGGGUGGCAUCGUCUGGAAUGUGACAUUAUUGUUUUUUUAAUGGAGGCUGGGUCAAAAUGGGGCACUCUACAGGGGCAAUUAAGAGAGAAAUUUGUGUGUGUGUGUGUGUGUGUGUGUGUGUGCAUACUAUAAUGUAUGUGUGCCAGUUGUAGCAAGUACUACAGCCAAAGUGUAGUUUUAAGCAUAUACUUUAUUUUGCCUAAAAACACAGCAGCUUGUUGUAACAGAAAAAUGUAAGUUACUUCUUGUACUGUAUAGUUAACACCAACGUCAAUGUUGUAACUAGUCAGUUUCUCACUAAACAUGCUACUUUGUUCAGCUGCACCAUGUCCACUUAUGCUAUAACUUAAUUAAAGCAAAACAUUGUCA